UACGUAGGGGGCAAGCGUUGUCCGGAAUCAUUGGGCGUAAAGCGCGCGUAGGCGGCCCGGUAAGUCAGUUGUGAAAGUCAGAGGCUCAACCUCUGGAGGCCAAUGGAUACUGCCGGGCUAGAGUCCGGAAGAGGCGAGUGGAAUUCCUGGUGUAGCGGUGGAAUGCGCAGAUAUCAGGAGGAACACCAAUGGCGAAGGCAGCUCGCUGGGACGGUACUGACGCUGAGGUGCGAAAGCGUGGGGAGCGAACAGG
rnacentral:rRNA from 1 species